UACGAAGGGUACGAGCGUUAUUCGGAGUUACUGGGCGUAAAGAGCGUGUAGGCGGUUAGUUAAGUUAGUUGUUAAAUUCCCCGGCCUAACUGGGGACGUGCGGCUAAUACUGGCUAGCUAGAGUACAAGAGAGAGAAGUAGAAUUCCCGGAGUAGCGGUAAAAUGCGUAGAUCUCGGGAGGAAUACCGAUGGCGAAGGCAGCUUCUUGGCUUGUAACUGACGCUAAAGCGCGAAAGCGUGGGGAGCAAACAGGAUUAGAUACCCUGGUAGUCCACGCCGUAAACGAUGAUCACCGGAUAUGGGUUUGACGUUGUCAGAUCUGUGUCGUAGCUAACGCGUUAAGUGAUCCGCCUGGGAAAUACGGUCGCAAGAUUAAA
rnacentral:rRNA from 1 species